GAUGAACGCUGGCGGCGUGCCUAAUACAUGCAAGUCGAGCGAACGGACAAGAAGCUUGCUUCUCUGAUGUUAGCGGCGGACGGGUGAGUAACACGUGGAUAACCUACCUAUAAGACUGGGAUAACUUCGGGAAACCGGAGCUAAUACCGGAUGAUAUUUUGAACCGCAUGGUUCAAAAGUGAAAGACGGUCUUGCUGUCACUUAUAGAUGGAUCCGCGCUGCAUUAGCUAGUUGGUAAGGUAACGGCUUACCAAGGCAACGAUGCAUAGCCGACCUGAGAGGGUGAUCGGCCACACUGGAACUGAGACACGGUCCAGACUCCUACGGGAGGCAGCAGUAGGGAAUCUUCCGCAAUGGGCGAAAGCCUGACGGAGCAACGCCGCGUGAGUGAUGAAGGUCUUCGGAUCGUAAAACUCUGUUAUUAGGGAAGAACAUAUGUGUAAGUAACUGUGCACAUCUUGACGGUACCUAAUCAGAAAGCCACGGCUAACUACGU
rnacentral:rRNA from 1 species